GAUUGCUCCAAAAAUAAUGUCUCCUAUUUAUUUCCUGAACAGGCUGGAUAGCUGGAUGGAGAUGAACCUUCUGAGGUUCAACAAGGGCAAGUGUAAGGUCCUGAGCCUGUGGAGGAAUAAUCACACACAUCAGUACAGGUGCACUGCUGUAAAUCAGGAGCAAGAUCACAGAAGCUUGAGGGCACAUUACUGUCAAGUGUACAAGAAGGAAAAUGGCACAGGGGCUUGUGAGAUCAGAGGGAAGAUUUAAAAAACAGAUAAAGACAGAAAGAUCAUCACCCCAAAACUCCACUAAUUUUGUGGAAGUGAAAUUUUAGCAAAGAUGAGAUUUACCCUGACACAAAGAAAAAAACAGGGAACUUCACUCCUGUGAAGAUGCUUACGCAAUACCUUGAAGAACAAAGGAAAAUUGGUGCUGCUUUUAGUGGAGUGUUUGUGGAAAUACUACAUGUGGGAAAUGGAACAAGAAUGUUCAGCUGGGGCUCCGCUCUUCAAAAUAAAACUGGACUGAAAAAUGACACUAGUUGAAGAAUAUACCAAGAUCACUGAAGCAAUUACUCCCACGUAAUUCUCUUAUAUUUGUUUAUUCUACCACAGGGACAAUGGAUUUAGUUUUGGAAAGCACCAGAGUAGUUUUUCACCACCUUUAAAUUAGGAACAGGCAAUCUAUUUUGUUAAAGGCUACACAGUCUCAACUUCAAGCUCAGCUUAACUGAGCACUUUUUUGUAGGAGUUCACAAUUUGUUGUCAGGCUCUGGUACCUUUGCUAUAGCUGGUUCUUCUUCCUGAGAUGAUUUCCACCAAAGUGUGCCUUUUGGUUACACAGCUGUAAAAUGAUCACAUUUUGCUAGAUGUUUUCUUGACUUACAAGAGGUGGUAAAUUCUCAUUAUAACUACAGUGUUCUAGCAUAAAUUGUAGGUUAUAAAACAAAAAUUUCAUCUAGUAACAAAGAAAUAAUAAAAUCUUUCAGACAGAGCAAUUUCUUAUACAUUUUUAUACGGUUUAAAUAACUGAUCUUCAGAAAGGAAAUCUGAUCCUUCAUGAAUUGCUCAAGAGAUAAGGAGUGCCCUGAAGUAGUGCCUGGCUAAGUGACAAUGGGACCAAUCACUAAAUGCAAUUGAGAAUUUCCAUAUGCAAGUAAUUGUACUGAAACAAGAAAGGAAGUUUCCAAGAGAUUUCUGUUUCUAACACUAAAGGUAUAAAUAUAUAGAUGGCAGCUUUGUUUGUGUUGUGAAGGUUAUUCAAAGUGCUGACUUUUGCCCUAUCCCUUUUCUCACAAUGGUUUAGCUAGUGGUAAUUUUUCCAGUGAUUUAAACAGAUCUACGAGUGUGGGUAGUACUGCUGGAAUUCAUAUUACUAAAUGUGGUUGCUCCCAAGACAGAGAAUAAAACUUGAGUUAGUGACCUGAGAUUGCUGAAACAUGGGACUCAGUCAAUAAUCAGUGGAGACUAAGUCAAUAUAAUUAGUGGAGGCCAAGACAUGCUAUGUUUUACCCUAAAAUAAACAUCUUUAGUUGAAAAAUUGAACACUGUCCUAGAUCCACUUACUAUAAAAUAAACCUUCAGUUACUACCUCUGCUUUUUAACCCCUCAUUAUUAAUAAAAAAUAAGGUGAUCAUAAAUCCUGCCUCAGGUUUCAAACUUCACCCAUUGAAAUUAUCAUAUCAAUUAUUUAUAUAUUUACAUUGAAGUCAUGUGUGUCAUUUGCAUAGUGAAACUCAACAGAUUUUAAAGUGGUUGAACUCCUGUGAUACCUUCCAGAGUGUGACAGUUUCAUAGUUUCAUGCUUUAUUUUUUCUUUUUUUUUUUUUUUAGAAAUAACUCUCAAUUAUUUAUUUAUUUAUUUACAGCAAUUAUCAAAAGGUUUUUAAAUCACAGUAAUAUUGUUUUUAAAUUCUCCUGUAAAUACACUUAUUUUUCAUUUAAAAAAAUAACAAAAUUUAACAGGCAGAUUCCCAGCUGGUGUUACUAGCAACUCUUUAUUAAUUUCAUAAGAAUAUGCUCAAGUGACACCAGUGAUUGUGAAGGAAAGAAACUAAGGAUGGCAGUCUUACAUAAGUACACACUGUUAUACCACAGGGGCUGCUCUAAAUGUAAUGCCUCCUAUUUUGAUAUGUUGGUCCACAAUGUCAGAGGAAAUUGUUGGUGGUAUGGCAAUAAAGGUUGAACCUUCCCGCCAGUAUUUUGUUGCCUUGUGACAGAUGGCAGCAGAAGAGCAGUCUGACAAAAAGAUAUCUGACAUGGAAGUGCAUAUGAAGCAAAGGUGUGCCAUUGCAUUUCUCCAUGUGGAAAAAUGGCAGCCACUGACAUUAAUUGUUACUUACUGAACGUCUAGAGAGACCAGACAGUGGAUGGGAGAACAGUGAGGUGAUUUGUUGUAUAUUUCAGCAGUGGUUACAGUGACAUGAAGACAAACCAUGUUCUGGACAGCCAUGCACAGCUGUCACACCACAAAAUGAAGAGUGUCUCAAUCAGCUCAUCCAUGCAAGUUGGCAGAUUAUGAUCAGAGAACUAUGUGCAUAGCUUCAGUAUGUUGGAAAUGACGGUGAUGACGCUGGCAUAUUACAAAUUUUGCACCAAGUGGGUCAUGGAAAUGCUCACACAGGAAAAGAAAGAACACCAUAUUCAAGUCUGUCAGGAACUAUGGCACUGAUAGCAGGCUGAAGGUGACAGUUUCCUGGAUCUCAUCGUUACUGGGGACAAGAUAUGGUGUCACAACUGCGAGCUGGAGUAAAAAUGGCAGUGUAUGGAGUGGUGACAUGUGAAUUCCCCCCAGGAGAAAGACACAGCCCUCCAUGUCUAACAAGAUGUUCAGUGUCUGUUGGAAUAGGAAAGGGGUGAUCUUUAUGGAUUUCCUGGAAACCAGACAGACCAUCAGCUCUGACCGCUACAUUGCAGUGCUGACUAAGGUGAAAGCUUGAACUUUCAGACAGGCCAGAGAAGAACAUAAUCUUCCUCUUGCAACAGACAAUGCUAGGCCACAGUUUGAAGACUAGGGAGUACACAGGACUGGACGGUCCCACCGCACCCUCUGUAUUGUCCAGAUUUGGUGCCUUCAGACUUCCCUCUGUUCAGGCCAAUGAAGGAUGGACUGUGUGGGCAACUUUAUCCUAGCAACAAUACCACCAUAGCAGCUGUGAAGCAGUGGAUCUCCUCUGCUGGUGCAGAUUUUUAUGAGUGUAAUAUGAAGGCUCUUGUUCAUCACUCCUGAGAAUGCAGAGCUAAUGGUGGUGAUUACACUAGUUUUCUGUAAUUGAGAAUGAGUGUUAUUGUAUUCUUUGUCUCUGCUGUAUUUUCCAUGGAAAUAAACUGGAGGUAUAACUUUCUGAGAGACUUGUGGAACCUGCAAAUUCGUUAACUACAUUACAAUUUUCCAUUUGUACUUAGCCUAAGACAACAAAAACACUUCAAAAUCUUCAAGUGACUAAGUUAUAAGAAUACAUCUUACUUACAGAUAGAUUCCUUAUAGAUAGUUAAAUAGGCUUACUUACAUACAUCUGUUAAUCUCAGAUUUGCUCAGAAAUGGCACACAUACUCCUUCUGUGAAGUCAUUAGCACUUUUUAAACUUAAUUAGGCAGGACAGAAUAUUUCAUUUUGUAGGCUCCUAUGAUUUUUGCAUCUUUAUGGAAAUGCUGUAAAUUUUCAGUGCAAAAAUUAAUCUUUUCCAAAUUGGUUGUUUGAGUUCAUUUUCCUCACUUUACAGGCAGAAAUAAGUGGUCUGCAAAAAGAAGGGUUGAACUGUGAUUCUUACUUGAGAUUGAUUGGAGGAUGCUUGCUUUCUGUAAAACCUGCAGAUGUGGAUGCAUCUCAACCAGGAACUCAGAAGAAAUUAGGCAGCCUUUCUACAUUGCUUUUUCUUUCUUAAUUUCAUAGCCAUUUUGUAAUUCAAGACAAAACAAAAUGAUGGUAAAUUGCUGUGCUCUUAUUUUUUCAUUUUGUACUUUUUUUUUUUUCCCCCAGAGCAAUGGCUUGAUGUUGCCCAGAAUGUCAUACAUGCAUACAUACAUGCAUGUGUAGUUUUUAAUUACUCUUCCUGUAAAAGUUAAAGCACACAGAAUCCUAACAUAUCAGCCUCAUGUUGUGACAUCAUCUCUCCACUACAGCUCUCUGACAAUUCUUUUGAUGAUCUUAUGAUAGGAUUAGAGAAAUUAAAAUACUAAAAUAAUUAUCUAUUUGUUUAGCAAAAUACCUGAUUCUGAUGGAUUCAUGUCUAUAAUCUGUUCCGUAAUAUUUUUCCCACUCUAAGAAUUUCACUGAUUUCUUUGAAUGUUACUACAAUAAGCUGAAGCAAAGGGGAACUGCUUUCACCACACAGGUUCUACCAGCUUACAACUUUUUUCCAUGCUUGUCAUACAGGUUUCAAAAAUUUUUUCGUUUUCCAUUUUUAUUCAUUCAUUCAAUAAUAAAUCUAUUCAUGUUGUUCUCUGACAGUACAAUAUAAUCUACUAGAAGAGCUUCAUAUAAAAGAGUAAAUCAGUAACAGAUGAGAAUGAGCCUUUAAAACAUGAAUUAGGGCUUUUGUCUAUCUUCAGCAGAGGUAGCAUGUAUCCUUGGUCUAUCUGAGAAUGAAUUUGGGAAAGGAGAAUUGAGAAAAGACUUAAGAGAGGAUGUUACCAGUUGUUCAUGUUUUCUUCUAAGUUACUUUUAAUUCAUCAUUUGACGCAAAGCUCACAGUGAAAUUUGAUGAGCUCUAUGCACCUAAACAUCAUCCACACUAGAUGUAGAUAUCUUACAUAAAGAUUUUUGUAAACAAAUAUCUCACUUGGUUUUUAUUUUAGUCAUGAGUAAUAAUAACAGUCACUUUCACUAGUCAACAGCAAGUAGCUUGUAGUAGACAAUAAAUAUACUGUAAGUAAUAAUUAAGAAAUUUUUCUUGGCUCUGGUUGCAGUGAAAUUCCAGAUAAAUUAGAUGUAAAGUGUCUUCAUUCAGAUCAAACAUCAAUAAACUGUUAAUUAUGUACAAAGGUAGAAUUGUGGCUAUCAGAUAAUAGAUUUGGGGUUAAACUCAAGCUCAGUUCAACAAUGGGAUUAAAUUUUGCCCAAAUUUGACCACUGUGACAAUGGAAAAGCUGUCAACUGUAAAAAUAUCUUCCAAACAUGACAACAUACAGAUCCUUCAAGCACCACCAUUUCUCUGAAGCAGAAGACCAGGCACUUAGCAAUAACUUUUGUGUUUAACUACAGACUGCAGUAGUUUGCAGAUAAUAAGAUUCUCUCCAUCCA